rnacentral:lncRNA from 1 species
UUACAUAACUACUGCCACCACUAAGGGUGUGAAUGGAGUCACCUAAGGGGGUCACCGAGGGUGCCCCGGACACCCUAAGCCACUAACCUAAACAUGGGAAUAAAAAGAAACUGGGAAUAAAAAGAAACUGCAUGAACGUGGAGUAUGGGCAUGCCCUGUACUCCUUUAAUUAACACAUCACAUUAAAACAAACAAAUCCUAAAUCCUAAAUACGUGAAGUUACGUGGCUUGGAUUGCAAGGUGACAUGGGGCACACAUCAGACCUCCGGUCAUUAAACAGACUUCCAACCACUGGACUACAUUGA